rnacentral:lncRNA from 1 species
CAGAAAUAGUAACUGGUGCAUGGGCUGUGGUGAGGGAGCCUGCUGUGCCAUGUCAGUCAAAUCUGGGCUGUCUUCAUGAUUCAACUUGGUGAUGUGAUGCAACCUUGGGCCUGGGUUGAAUGGACAGACUGACAUUAGAAUCUACACUGAGCACACCUUAAAGGGGUGUGUGUGUGUUUAAUGUAGAUGUACGUAUAAGGCUCAUUUCUGACUUUGAUUACUGACAUGAGCAGUUGAUUAGCCGUAGUAAAUAUUAAAUUCAUAGUCUGGAUAUAAUUUUUAAAAAAUAGCAAGACAUCACCCCCCCCCCAAAAAAAAACUUAACAGUCAAUGUCUUUCCUGAAUAAAAUUAAUAAAAUUUGAAACAAUAAAUAAUAAAAAUAGGAAGUAGCAAACUACACAGAAAAAAAAA